UCUGACGGUAAAGAAUCUGCCUGUCAUGCAGGGGACCCAGGUUCGAUCCCUGG
rnacentral:tRNA from 1 species